rnacentral:tRNA from 1 species
GAAGGUAUAGCUCAGUGGUGGAGUGUGUGUUUAGCAUGCAUAAGGUCCUGAGUUCAAUUCCCAGUACCUCCA